CAUACGCACACACGUCUUCCAUAUAAUGACACUGUCAGGGCUUUAUUUGUAGCCAGUGCAUCUUCAUUGUGCAGCUGGCCAGGACUUACAGCAAACUACAUCACUGCACUCCUCACGGGGAACUUAAAGCAGCCUCAUCAUCAGCAUCCUCAGUGUGCGUUAUCUCCCGACAAGGUGACCGACAUCCCUCCUAGAUAGCAGCCUCUUGAGCGCAUGCCAGCUUUGAAAACGACUUUAACACACACGCACGAGCCAAGAAGCUGACUCAGUGUGAUGCAAGACCACGGCACCGGUGCUCUAUCGCACUCCACUUCAUUAACCUCCUGAAUGACAAGGUGGAUAGAUCGGAAGCUGCAGUGGCCGUGGAAUCCCCCCUCCUCGUCCUCCUUUUACCGGUGUGUAAAGUGAGUGCAUAUGUGUGUGUGCUGAUCCAGCAGAUGCAGACUGGAGCCACCAAUAGCAAGAGGCGAAGGGGAUGGAGAGGGUGUGUGAGAGAUGGCAGAGGAGGGGUCUGGUAGCAUUACAUCAUGGGCGAGGGAAACGGUUGUGUUCUGCAGGAGGUGGGGGAAGGUGUGUGUGUGUGUGUCCUUGUAUAUUUUCUGCAGGAUGAUUAAACAUGCUCAUGAUGCACCUGCACAGAGCUGUGAUUAACAACCAUUCAGAGGGAGACAGUAAAUAAUCAGAGCUUUCAACAUGUAAUAGAGGCAAAAAGUAAAUAGCAGAUGGACAUUUGCAAAAACGCCCUUUUCCAAGCCCCUAAUGGCUCUCUUGUCAGCCUGAACGAGCAUUGAUGGACAUCUUAGGAAACAAGGCGCUGACAUUUUGGGUGUGGAAGAAGCUUUGUGCAGGAGCAUACACCCAUCACCUGUUAGCGGAGUCUAAAAACGAACAGUGAGGGGAGCGAAUUUUUUUUUGGGGGGGGGGGGCGGGUGGUGUCAAGCGAAAAAACAAUGACGGCUCAGGGUCAUCCCAGCCCCUCGGCUCAUGAGAAUGAGACACCAGCCGCACAGGAAACAUACUGAUAAGGAAGUCUUUCUCUCGUGCUUAAAUGUUGAAUAAGAGUUGAUGCGCAAGGCGUAUGGGCAGGCCUCGCAUCAAGGUCGGCAUGUAGAAAGAAGACACAUCAAGUUGGGAGACAGUUUGGUUACACUUCAGAAGAUAACUGGAGCAGACCUCUGCCAAGACUUUUCUAGAUGCAUGCAAUCCAUCCAUCUAUUUUCUCAACUGGUGAUACUGCUCAGGAUUUCUUUCUUUUGGCAAAGGCAGGAAGGGGCAUUUGCGUCGUUGUGGGAGGGAAUUGAGCCAACUUGUUUGCCAUCCAAUGGAAAUGGGUCCUCUCGCACAGAGAGGCCCGCUGUCAACAUGGUACAAUGACUUGAGGGUGUCCAUGCAAGAGAUUGACACACAUAAAAUUUAAAAGGAAUUGCAAGAAGAUCUCCACUUAUCUGCGCCUCGAUAAAAUUCACCAAACUGGUGUUACACCACCCACGCCACUACUUAGACCUGCUUUUAACUGGUCUGUCGUGAAUUUUCUGUCACCAAAUUGACAUUGCGCCCAUGGCAUGUCAUUAAAGAUAGUCUGCCUCAAGAACUUACUGUAUAAAGGGAUGUGAGUCACAGUCCAAAACACCGUCAUUGAUAAUACAGCAGUAUGCGGUAGCAAUGAUUUUAAUGAAAAGUUAGUGAAACCUAAAACUCCUUAACAUUUUUUUUCCAUACAUGCAAAUUGAAAUGGAAAAACUGCACAUUCUCUUGCACAACGAAAUAUGAAGAACAAAGUAUCAAAUUCCUUCAAAGACAGCGUAGGAAAGGAAAUAUUAUGCUCGGCCAAGAAACUCGACAAAUAAGACGUUAACACCUCACAGUUGAUAAACAUUUUAUGAUGGGUACAGGUAAUUUUCCUUUGAGAAGUGCCACCAUGAGGUACCCUGAAAUAUUGAGCCAUGAAGAAAUCAAUACUGCUGAAGUAGAACUGCCUGCAUGUUAGCAUACUGUAUUGAUAUUUUGAUACUUGUGGAUCAAUACUCUAUCAUGUUCUGAUCCAUUGUUUUAUUGAUAUUUUGCCCCACCUCUACUUUCCGAGUCAUCCUUCAAAGUCAGAAUUCAAAAUGUGUGUUGAAAUCACAAUAAUGCACUGCCAAACUAAUUUCUUGAUUAAUAAUAAUUUUUAAAAACUACAUUAAACAUCAAUUUAUGUCUAAAAGAGUGACUUUUUAAACGUACAUCUCCUUAACUAAUUAAUCCACAUUUUUCAAGUGGAAGAUGACUUUCAGUGCACGAGAUUAAAGGAGGUUUUUUUCCCCCUCUCAUAUCGCUCAUGAGAAAUGCUGACUCUGCAAGCUCCAUCCAUCAUGAGGACAGUGUUAUCUCUAAUAUAUGCUUGGAUUGGUUCCCUGGUUUGUGUUUCUGGAAAGGUAAAUCAUGUCUCGUUUUUUUUGUCACAUCGGUUCAGGUGAGUUCAUGUGAAAGGGGACGUAGUAUAAAAUAUGUCAUUUUUAUUUGCUUGUAGACAAAUAUGAUACCUGGAGGGUCUGCUCACCCAUAUAGGGUGAAAUGCAACAACCAAGUUCCUGUUUUUUAACUGCCUAUUUCUGUCUGAACAAGCUGUUCAACACUUCUGCCUCACUGUUACAUAACAGUGGGGCUAAUUUACAUAAUAACUGCCCACACCCACCUGUAAGUUUCUUCACCCAUGACUUGGGAGCGAUGGGCUAAAGAUGCAGAGCCUCUUUCAAGUGGAUUCUGGCAGCUAGACUCGACUUUAUAAGGCAAAGGUAGUACAUCUUGGCACCACCGUCCCCACUCUCGAGGACUUGCGCGCCGCAAGAACCAAGACAACGGUAUGGAAAAUUAUACUGGACCCUCCACACCAUGCCCACCACAUCUUUCAGGUACGCGCGAUCGAACCAUGCGCACCAAAACCAGCAGACAUUCAAACAGACUCUUCCUUUCGCCAUGAACUCUGUAAACAGUAACUCAAAUCUGAAGUGGUUCUUUGCAUUUUUCCACACCCCUUUGGAACAGUAUUUUAUAUAUAUAUAUAUACGCUGAUCAUUAUAGCUCCAGCUCGCUACAUACUUGAACAACUAUCAUUGUUCAAUAUUCCACAGCACCAGACACUUUAAACCCUUCAAGGAAUCUGUAUAGUUGCACACCUAAAGUUGUAUUACAACUACUGCUAUUGGUCAUUUAAAAAUGGUGCAAUAAUUAUCUGUAUUGUAUCUAUCGGAUUGUAUUUCACCACUGAUCACUUUAUCGCCGACUAUUGAUGACGAUGGACUUUGUAUCACAGCUGUCACCGAGUGGUAUGGCUUCACAAUGGUAACCUUACAUUACAGAAAGUUUUUCGAUACUCAUAUGUCCUAUCUUUGUUUAUCGUAGUUGCUUAUUAUUGCAAUACUAGUUUAGCCGAUACUCCUGGAUACAAAUUCCUUGUGUGUUUUACUUACUUGGCCAAAAAAGAGGAUCCUGAUUCAAGUGCAGCCUCCCUUUGUAAUAGUCACAAAAGCAACACUCCGAAAAUGAGCCAGUGGUUUAUCGGACAGGUUGAAGGCUGGAUGGCUUGCAUACGAUGAAUCCUCUCUCCUCAGAAUUGUUGACUUUCAAUUGAACAAAAAAGUUGGGUUUAAAUAGGCCUAUUAUUCUUAGACAAAAGCAUGUCACACACAGUACAUGCUAUUAAGACAUCUGGAGACUGUUUUAAGUUGUGAAAAAAAAGACGAGAUGUCCCCUUUUAUGGUAAAUAAAGCAUGUUUAGAACAGAGGCCUCAUUGGUCAUGCAUUCUUCAUUUCAUGUUUAGGAUUGAUUGCUUGAAGACAUUUUGCGGCCGAAACAAAUUGAAUGUGUAAUGGGGGCCUUUGUUAAUGGAAGUGAAUAAUUUAGGCGGUUCCAUUGUAGCGUUCUUGACAGGUGCCUAUUUAUUAUGAUGUCGACAGACGCAGCAGGAAAUAGGGGCACGUGAUGCAGCAUCACAGCGCAUUUACACAAGUACACAUGUUGGCAUACAAGCACUUAAACAUAAACAGCGCAGCCACUGCGUUUAUCUUCCUGGUUCCAGUGAAGUUGCUUCAAAACUAAACAAAGCUGUUUUGGGAUGACUCCGUUUGUAAAGUCAACAAGGGUUUCUGGAUAAUUGACGAAAGCGCAUUUGUCACAAAUGCUUUGGGACAUUUUAAGGGAGACAUUUCCAAGAAUGUUGUGCCUUUUCUCAACUGUUUGUUACAUCCGGGAAGACGAGUUAAUGUGGGGGGUUUUCAAGGCAUGGAGGCAAGCACAACCACAUGCAGACAGAGAACAGCUGGAGACAAAUGGCUAGUGAGGCCACUGUGUCAAAACACAAAAAUCAAAAGGAGGGACAUGAGCUUAGUAGACAAAUAGAAUAACAGUAAAAGAGAC